rnacentral:tRNA from 1 species
GGGCGGAUGGUGGAAUUGGUAGACACGCAAGCUUGAGGGGCUUGUGACCGCAAGGUCGUGGAGGUUCAAAUCCUCUUUCGCCCACCA